UGACACGAAACCAGGCUUUGAAGGACGGUUCAGUCUACGAUUAGCAACGAUUAUCAGAAGCCUGAGUUAAGAGCGGAUAUCGAUCGAUGCUAGUGACGUCACGUUCGACGACCGUUUCGUCAUCUAAUGCUUCCCGUACGAUUCUGACAAGCUCAGACGACACACUUUUCUACAGUAUAUCCGACUUCCUCCACCAACAGCAAUUAAUACAACGGCAAGUAGACAUGUACAGGAAGGACGACAAAACAUAUCAAACGACAAGGAGCGCAUAAGGAAACAACAUCGCCAAAGAAUGCAUAGACAACGACGUGCAAGCGGCCAGUAUUCAGUAUUACACGCUACCCUAUUAUCGAGGAAAAUGAAAAGAGAGAAGAAAAAAAACGAAACAGCGUCGCCGAGAGAGAGAAUACCUGAAAUCAGAAG